AGCAGGCGAGUGAAGGGAAACUUCAUCUGUAUUUCUAGCCCCUCCCAUCGCUUGCAUGACCACCUGAGCUCCAUGUCCUGUCAGAUCAGCAGCAGCAUUAGAUUCUCAUAGGAGCACAAACUCUGUUGUGAAGUGUGCAUGUGAGGGAUCUAGGUUGUGUAGUCCUUAUGAGAAUCUAAUGCCUGAUAUUCUGUUACUGUCUCCCAUCACCCCAGAUGGACAGUCUAGUUGCAGGAAAACAAGCUCAGAGAUCCCACUGAGUCUACGUUAUACUGGAUCUACCAUGAAGGACUUCUGAAUCCAGGAAGAGAGACUGACUGGGCAACAUGUUAUUCAGGAGAUGGGGUCUCACCCUGUCACCCAGGCUUGAGUACAGUAGUGCUAUCACAGCUCACUGCAGCCUUGAACUCCUGGGCUAAGGGUACUCCUACCUGAGCCUCCUGAGUAGCUAGGACUGUAGGUAUACAUGACGAUACUUGGCUAAUUUUUAAAUUGUUUUGUAGACAUGGGGUCUCACUUUGUUGGCCAGGCUGGUGUCAAACUAAUGGCCUCAAGUGACCAUUCCACCCCUGCCUCCCAUCCUAGAGGUAUGUGCCAGCACAAGGAACACUUGUUCAAUUUUCUAAAGAAAAAAUUUCUAAAGUAAGGCUGUGGGAUGAUGGCAGGAAGAUAAAAGAAAAACAGAAGAAUAAGUUAAAAUGACUUAUUCAAACAUAUUCUUUUGACAGCAAGAAGAACUUUUAGGAUACACAUUCCUUACAAACAAACAAACGGCAGAUAAACAACGUUGUAUAGGAACUUCAACACACACUGUACAAUAUUCCCACUUUGCUGACAUAAGUUAUGGAAAUUUCGUGGUUUACUUGAGUGUCGCUACCAGUAUUUUGCUUCUCUGAUGAUUUUUAUCAACUUCCUCAUCUGUUAACUUCCCUCCAAGUUAUGUCAUGUCACGACAUACUGCCGCUGCACGAACAUGACCAGUGUCUUCCUAUUAAACAUGUAGAAUGCUUUCCUAAUUUCUCUUUUUACUCUCUGUCUUUGUGUUCUGCAUUUUCCUUACUUUUAUUGUCAGAAACUCCAGAAAGUCAGUCGUACUAAUUUAUCACGAUUUGCUUUAUUAAUUUAUACUUUGCUUAUAUGGAAUUUUGCCCAACAGACCUCAUUACAAUUUCUAACCUGUUUUAUUUUGUUUUUUUUUUC